GCCUGGGUGGCUCAGUGGUUGAGCAUCUGCCUUCAGCUCAGGUCGUGAUCCCGGGGUCCUGGGAUUGAAUCCCAUCUUAGGCU
rnacentral:tRNA from 1 species